rnacentral:rRNA from 1 species
UGGAGGCAGCAGUGGGGAAUAUUGGUCAAUGGGUGAGAGCCUGAACCAGCCAUGCCGCGUGCAGGAAGAAAGCCUUCUGGGUUGUAAACUGCUUUUAUCUGGGGAUAAAAUACCCGUGCGCGGGGAAUUGAAGGUACCAGAUGAAUAAGCCACGGCUAACUACGUGCCAGCAGCCGCGGUAAUACGUAGGUGGCAAGCGUUGUCCGGAUUUAUUGGGUUUAAAGGGUGCGUAGGCGGUUCUAUAAGUCAGUGGUGAAAUACGGCAGCUCAGCUGUCGAGGUGCCAUUGAUACUGUAGGACUAGAGUACUGAUGAGGUAGGCGGAAUGGACGGUGUAGCGGUGAAAUGCUUAGAUAUCGUCCAGAACACCGAUAGCGAAGGCAGCUUACUAAAGAGUAACUGACGCUGAGGCACGAAAGUGUGGGGAUCAAACAGGAUUAGAUACCCCGGUAU